CCAGACUCCUACGGGAGGCAGCAGUGGGGGAUAUUGCACAAUGGGGGGAACCCUGAUGCAGCGACGCCGCGUGGGCGAAGAAGUAUUUCGGUAUGUAAAGCCCUAUCAGCAGGGAAGAAGAAAUGACGGUACCUGACUAAGAAGCCCCGGCUAACUACGUGCCAGCAGCCGCGGUAAUACGUAGGGGGCAAGCGUUAUCCGGAUUUACUGGGUGUAAAGGGAGCGUAGACGGCGCUGCAAGUCCGGAGUGAAAGUCCAUGGCUUAACCAUGGUACUGCUCUGGAAACUGUGGAGCUUGAGUGCGGGAGGGGCAGGCGGAAUUCCUAGUGUAGCGGUGAAAUGCGUAGAUAUUAGGAGGAACACCGGCGGCGAAGGCGGCCUGCUGGACCGUAACUGACGUUGAGGCUCGAAAGCGUGGGGAGCAAACAGGAUUAGAUACCCUCGUAACG
rnacentral:rRNA from 1 species